AAUGGGCGCAAGCCUGAUGCAGCAACGCCGCGUGAGGGACGAAGGCCUUCGGGUUGUAAACCUCUUUUAGUAGGGAAGAAGCGACUGGGUUUUCCUGGGAGUGACGGUACCUGCAGAAAAAGCACCGGCUAACUACGUGCCAGCAGCCGCGGUAAUACGUAGGGUGCAAGCGUUGUCCGGAAUUAUUGGGCGUAAAGAGCUCGUAGGCGGUUUGUCGCGUCUGCUGUGAAAACCCGAGGCUCAACCUCGGGCCUGCAGUGGGUACGGGCAGACUAGAGUGCGGUAGGGGAGGUUGGAAUUCCUGGUGUAGCGGUGGAAUGCGCAGAUAUCAGGAGGAACACCAAUGGCGAAGGCAGAUCUCUGGGCCGUAACUGACGCUGAGGAGCGAAAGCAUGGGGAGCGAACAGGAUUAGAUACCCUGGUAGUCCAUGCCGUAAACGUUGGGAACUAGAUGUGGGGACCAUUCCACGGUCUCCGUGUCGCAGCUAACGCAUUAAGUUCCCCGCCUGGGGAGUACGGCCGCAAGGCUAAAACUCAAAGGAAUUGACGGGGGCCCGCACAAGCGGCGGAGCAUGCGGAUUAAUUCGAUGCAACGCGAAGAACCUUACCAAGGCUUGACAUAUACCGGAAACGGCUGGAAACAGUCGCCCCGCAAGGUCGGUAUACAGGUGCUGCAUGGUUGUCGUCAGCUCGUGUCGUGAGAUGUUGGGUUAAGUCCCGCAACGAGCGCAACCCUCGUCCUAUGUUGCCAGCACGUAAUGGUGGGAACUCAUGGGAUACUGCCGGGGUCAACUCGGAGGAAGGUGGGGAUGACGUCAAAUCAUCAUGCCCCUUAUGUCUUGGGCUUCACGCAUGCUACAAUGGCCGGUACAAAGGGCUGCGAUACCGCAAGGUGGAGCGAAUCCCAAAAAGCCGGUCUCAGUUCGGAUUGAGGUCUGCAACUCGACCUCAUGAAGUCGGAGUCGCUAGUAAUCGCAGAUCAGCAACGCUGCGGUGAAUACGUUCCCGGGCCUUGUACACA
rnacentral:rRNA from 1 species